rnacentral:tRNA from 1 species
GCCCUGGUGGUAUAAUGGUUAAAGCACUCAGCUGCUAACUGAAAAGUUGAUGGUUCCAACCCACCCAGUGGCU